AACUCGUUGAUCCGAAACGACGCGAAGAAAGGCGAUAUCUUGCGUGUCUUGGGAAGGGAAAAACAAUCAUGAUCCUCGCAGCACACGAUGAAUCAUGAUUGGGGGGCAACUGUUGAGGGAGUUAUUGGGCUUUAAGGAUAUAAGGCCCAAUCCAAGAGAAGCCCAUCACGAAGGAGGCCUUAAAGCCCGAAGACAUCGGGAUCCGAACGACCUCGCCGCCUUACAGAUCUGCCACGUCACGAGACGCAAGGGUAGAACCGGAAAAACCUGUCAGAGUACGCCCUACUCCGCGGGGGUAUAAAAGCAGGACGACUAGUCCUGUCAAAUCAUCGAAAAACACGCUGACACGGCAAGGACACGAAGAGCUCGGCUGGGACACGAAGAGCUCGGCAAGGAUACGAAGAACUCGGCUAGGACACGAAGACCGAUCUCAAUCUAGAAAAGGAAAGCGACCUCAAUCUUCAUUCAGCUCGGAGAAGCGACCUCAAUCUUCAUUCAGUUCGGCUUCAUCGACGACCUGGAAUCCUUAAUCCGAAGUCAUCAAUCUCGGCUCGCCUAACGCCAUUUGAACUCUCGGCUCGAAUUGUUUUGGGAGAUUCUUUUUACUUCCCCAGAGAAACCCUAUUUCGUACUUGUGUGAUUCGUGCAUCAACA
rnacentral:lncRNA from 1 species